CCUGGCGGCUUUAGCGCGGUGGUCCCACCUGACCCCAUGCCGAACUCAGAAGUGAAACGCCGUAGCGCCGAUGGUAGUGUGGGGUCUCCCCAUGCGAGAGUAGGAAACUGCCAGGC
rnacentral:rRNA from 1 species